rnacentral:rRNA from 1 species
GACGAACGCUGGCGGCGUGCUUAACACAUGCAAGUCGAACGGAAAGGCCCUGCUUUUGUGGGGUGCUCGAGUGGCGAACGGGUGAGUAACACGUGAGUAACCUGCCCUUGACUUUGGGAUAACUUCAGGAAACUGGGGCUAAUACCGGAUAGGAGCUCCUGCUGCAUGGUGGGGGUUGGAAAGUUUCGGCGGUUGGGGAUGGACUCGCGGCUUAUCAGCUUGUUGGUGGGGUAGUGGCUUACCAAGGCUUUGACGGGUAGCCGGCCUGAGAGGGUGACCGGCCACAUUGGGACUGAGAUACGGCCCAGACUCCUACGGGAGGCAGCAGUGGGGAAUAUUGCACAAUGGGCGGAAGCCUGAUGCAGCAACGCCGCGUGCGGGAUGACGGCCUUCGGGUUGUAAACCGCUUUCGCCUGUGACGAAGCGUGAGUGACGGUAAUGGGUAAAGAAGCACCGGCUAACUACGUGCCAGCAGCCGCGGUGAUACGUAGGGUGCGAGCGUUGUCCGGAUUUAUUGGGCGUAAAGGGCUCGUAGGUGGUUGAUCGCGUCGGAAGUGUAAUCUUGGGGCUUAACCCUGAGCGUGCUUUCGAUACGGGUUGACUUGAGGAAGGUAGGGGAGAAUGGAAUUCCUGGUGGAGCGGUGGAAUGCGCAGAUAUCAGGAGGAACACCAGUGGCCGAAGCGGUUCUCUGGGCCUUUCCUGACGCUGAGGAGCGAAAAGCGUGGGGAGCGAACAGGCUUAGAUACCCUGGUAGUCCACGCUGUAAACGGUGGGUACUAGGUGUGGGGUCCAUUCCACGGGUUCCGUGCCGUAGCUAACGCUUUAAGUACCCCGCCUGGGGAGUACGGGCCGCAAGGCUAAAACUCAAAGGAAUUGACGGGGCCCCGCACAAGCGGCGGAGCAUGCGGAUUAAUUCGAUGCAACGCGUAGAACCUUACCUGGGUUUGACAUGGAUCGGGAGUGCUCAGAGAUGGGUGUGCCUCUUUUGGGGUCGGUUCACAGGUGAUGCAUGGCUGUCGUCAGCUCGUGUCGUGAGAUGUUGGGUUAAGUCCCGCAACGAGCGCAACCCUUGUUCACUGUUGCCAGCACGUUAUGGUGGGGACUCAGUGGAGACCGCCGGGGUCAACUCGGAGGAAGGUGGGGAUGACGUCAAGUCAUCAUGCCCCUUAUGUCCAGGGCUUCACGCAUGCUACAAUGGCUGGUACAGAGAGUGGCGAGCCUGUGAGGGUGAGCGAAUCUCGGAAAGCCGGUCUCAGUUCGGAUUGGGGUCUGCAACUCGACCUCAUGAAGUCGGAGUCGCUAGUAAUCGCAGAUCAGCAACGCUGCGGUGAAUACGUUCCCGGGGCUUGUACACACCGCCCGUCAAGUCAUGAAAGUUGGUAACACCCGAAGCCGGUGGCCUAACCGUUGUGGGGGAGCCGUCGAAGGUGG